GCACGGUAUACUACAACCCAAAAAGCUGCGCAAGCGAGAAGACGGGAGCAAGUAUCUCGCGAGAAUAAUCUUCAUGCCUCAACGUGGCAGUCACUGUGGAAUGAAAGCACAUCUUUCUGGUGCCCGGGAAAUGAGAAACACAAGAACGAAACCACCUGGUUGUUUCAUGAUUCUCAUGUUCUCUCCUUGUCGCCUGCUUUGCAGGGUCUUCGGUUGCCUGUUUGUUCAAAACUUCGGCCACAGAUCCCCCGAAAAAUGCGCUUUAAAAUGGAAGAGUCCUUACUCUCUGUACUCACUCGCCUGGCUCUCUUCAUUGGCUUUCUUCCAAGCUAGCCACAUCGUGCAGACGAUCAUGCGAAAAGAACCGUACGCUAACUUUACGGAAGCGCUUUCGUUCAUUCUGACCAUCACAGCGACAGCUAAGGUCUACGUAAACUUAUUUUGCAUGAUUUCGGGAUCCCAGAAGCUCCUCAUCUUCUUUCGCGAGAGUGCAGAGUACGAAACUUUAUCGCAAUUCCGGCGUCCCCGAUUCACCGAAAUGCUCAAAAAAGAUUGGCUACUCUAUCUCCUCAGGCUUUUCUUCAUAAUAUCCAAAGUCGCCACAACAUGCGCACUCGUAGUUUUCAUUCCACAGGAGGACGCCGAAAAUGUUGCACGAGAAAGAGGUGUGGCAGCAGUACUUUGUAAAUUGUUCUCUGUGUCUGCGUUCACGUUCUACGAUACGAUCAUGUACCUUGUUAUGACUUCGACUUUCGAAGUACUAGUCUGGUACGUGCGCGCACAGCACGAAGCUCUUGAAGAAUGCUUGAACGAGGUCGCCCAGGCAGCAGUGUCCGCUGAAUCACGGGCCUCGUCCAUCGAGUUGGCGCCCAGAAAGCUCGAAACGGUGCGCGGGAACAUGUGCACCAUAAAUAUUCUCAAGAGAAGGAUGAACGACACGUGGAAUCCGGCUAUCUGCGUUUCGGCAGCUUGCCUCCUGUGGGUCAACUGCAUGGCUUUGUACAGCAUUAUGAAUGCUGGUUCUACUGGAAACAUUGCGUUCCUAACGCCCCUGUACGCGACGCACUCCACACUGAGUAUUGCGGAGCUUGCAACUUUGAGCUACACUUUCCGUGACGUGGCCGAGAAACUCAGAGACGCCGUGCGUUCGUCCUCCAUGCGUGCCGUCACAUACUCGUACUACAGACAGGCACAAUUAUUAUAUGACGCCAUUGACCCUGAACGACUGUGCAUAAGCGGUGGUGGUUUCUUUCGCCUUGACCAAUCACUCAUCGUAUCAAUAUCUGGAGCGUUAAUAACGUACACCGUCAUCUUGUCCCAGACGAGCCAUGAAUAAUAAGUGGACAUGUACUCCGAAUAUAUUGACCGCCUGACGAAAGGAACGCUUUCCAUGUGGCAACCACUUUUCGGCAAUUAAAUGCCAAUUUUAUGGGCAGAA